UAUGGGGCAGCCGUGGGGCAGGCACUGACGCGGUUGUGGAUGAAGAGCCGCACUUUGUCCCCGGGCAGCUCCAGGCGCAGCAGCCGCUGCAGGAACAGCUCCAGGAACGGGGUCGGCUGCUCCACGAACACCGCCAGCAGCGCCCGCACCGCCUGCACGCACCGACAGGGGGCGCCACAAACACAACGUGUGGGGCGGGCAGACACGGGGGGCGCGCACACAGCGAUGGGGCACGCACACACAGCUAUGGGGCACACACAGCUAUGGGGCACGCACACACAGCUAUGGGGCACGCACUGCUAUGGGGCACACACACACACACGGGGCCCAGCCCCACAGAUCUAUGGGGCACACACACACACAAUGGGGCCCAGCCCCACUGAUCUAUGGGGCGCACACACACACAUGGGGCCCAGCCCCGCAGAUCUAUGGGGCACACACACACACACACACACAAUGGGGCCCAGCCCCACAGAUCUAUGGGGCGCACACACACACACAUGGGGCCCAGCCCCACAGAUCUAUGGGGCACACACACACACACGGGGCCCAGCCCCACAGAUGUAUGGGGCACACACACACACGGGGCCCAGCCCCACAGAUCUAUGGGGCACACACACACACACGGGGCCCA
rnacentral:lncRNA from 1 species